CUCAGUUCCUUAGAUUUUUCUUUACCUUCUCUCUACCAUUCCUCCUCUCUGAGCCAUUUGAUUUCCGAUCAGGUGGUGCCCAAGUAUCCGCAACGUAGAGGGUUCCGUAUUUGACCGAUCAAUUUCUUUAUUCUGAUUGGGUGCUGUUUAGGUUUCUCACCACUCAAGGUACUGUUGUGGAGUCUUUGUGAGCUGGGCAGUUCAACUUUGAGAGGUAGGUGAAGUGCCUCUAGAGCAGGUCUUGGAGGAAGAUGAUGUCGCUGCUUAGCCUAGUUAGGAUUCAUAGGCGUUUUGUGUAUUUUUGAAAUACUCUUUUGUGUUUGAAAUUUUAAAUUAUAGCCAUUUUGGAAUGAUGGUAACCUUAAGACUUUAUCUGCAAGUCUUUUCUAACUGUUCUAUUAUAUUAAAAUGUGGACUACUGUAUUAUAUAAUUUUAUAUAAUCUAAGAUGUU